AACCUGCCCAAGAGAUCGGGAUAACACCUGGAAACAGAUGCUAAUACCGGAUAACAACAGAUGAUGCCUAUCAACUGUUUAAAAGAUGGUUCUGCUAUCACUCUUGGAUGGACCUGCGGUGCAUUAGCUAGUUGGUAGGGUAACGGCCUACCAAGGCGAUGAUGCAUAGCCGAGUUGAGAGACUGAUCGGCCACAUUGGGACUGAGACACGGCCCAAACUACUACGGGAGGCAGCAGCG
rnacentral:rRNA from 1 species